rnacentral:lncRNA from 10 species
AAAUUCAAAUGGGGGCACCUCUUAUUAUAUUGGACCCAAGGAGCUCUGUCACUGUCUUCCCCAAACAAGGCUGAAGCUGUGCUGCAUAAUUCUGUUGGAUACUGAUGAGUCAAAACUUGCCAUUUUCAAAGGAAAAGAAUGCAGACACCUCUUAAAAGAGCAGGUAGUUAGAAUGCAACACUGGAAGAAUGUGAGUUUGAGACUAGAAAGAAAAAUUGAGGUAGCAUUCAUAUGGCAACUUCAUAUGACUUGAUGUGAGUAAAAGAGAUUUCUGCUGGAGGAUGGGGAAGUGGUCUGCAUGAGACAAAAGCUAAAAUUAUAACUUUGGGGAACUUUUGGAGGCUGAGGUCAGAGAAAUCUAAGGAGUUUCUAGUGCAGAGUCCUAGAAAUAAAAGGUGAAGAGAUUUUUGG